GAUGAACGCUGGCGGCGUGCCUAAUACAUGCAAGUCGAGCGAACAGACGAGGAGCUUGCUCCUCUGACGUUAGCGGCGGACGGGUGAGUAACACGUGGAUAACCUACCUAUAAGACUGGGAUAACUUCGGGAAACCGGAGCUAAUACCGGAUAAUAUAUUGAACCGCAUGGUUCAAUAGUGAAAGACGGUUUUGCUGUCACUUAUAGAUGGAUCCGCGCCGCAUUAGCUAGUUGGUAAGGUAACGGCUUACCAAGGCAACGAUGCGUAGCCGACCUGAGAGGGUGAUCGGCCACACUGGAACUGAGACACGGUCCAGACUCCUACGGGAGGCAGCAGUAGGGAAUUUUCCGCAAAGGGCGAAAGCUUGACGGAGCAACGCCGCGUGAGUGAUGAAGGUCUUCGGAUCGUAAAACUCUGUUAUUAGGGAAGAACAAAUGUGUAAGUAACUAUGCACGUCUUGACGGUACCUAAUCAGAAAGCCACGGCUAACUACGUG
rnacentral:rRNA from 1 species